GAAGGUCUUCAACCAUGGUGAUGCAGUAACCUCAUCUCCAAAUUCCCUUAAUCCAAGCUUAUUUUGAGUCUCAUAACUCAAUCUAAGGCACUAAGAAGAUAGUAGGGAAGACCUUGAGGUGGUUCACAAGCUGAUUUGGAGAAGAUUCGUAGCUGGAAUCAUGAUUCAAGUGUUUCUUCAAAGGGAUGUGCACUUCUUUUGUGCCCAUGGUUAUGUAUACACCUCUUUCAUAUACACAUAACCCACUGAGCGUGCAUCUCUUUCGUACACCCUAGACCCAUCUAGCUUUUAAUCUCUAGCGAACUACGACUUGGAGAUUGAAAGAACGUUUUGACAAAGACUGAGAGACAACUGCCAACAACAACAACAAGAUAGAACUCCAAGAAUGACGGAACAACCGAAAGAAAGGGCCGCAAACACAAAUAAUAUAAUGGCCAACCCAUG